UACGUAGGGACGAGCGUUGUCCGGAUUCAUUGGGCGUAAAGAGCUCGUAGGCGGCUGUUCAAGUCGAACGUGAAAACUCGGAGCUCAACUCCGAGCCUGCGUUCGAUACUGGAUGGCUAGAGUCUGGUAGGGGGAUCUGGAAUUCCUGGUGUAGCGGUGGAAUGCGCAGAGUAUCAGGAGGAACACCGGUGGCGAAGGCGGGGAUCCUGGG
rnacentral:rRNA from 1 species